UGAGAAAAAUCAUGUGGUACCAUUAACUAUUCACAUGCUUUUAAUUUUACUAUGACCAUAUGCAACAAUAUCAUAGUAAAACGAACAACAAUUGAAUUCAUAAUGACCUAAUCAUGGCAGAGUUUACUAUAGACGUAUUGAAACUGUCAUAGUAAAACUAACCUCAUUAUUCAGUUACCGCAAUCUGUGAUAACGUAAGCGCAGACUUGAUCAUAUUUUUGCCAUUCUAUUCCGUGUCCACACUAUGGCAAAACAUUUUCUUAUAAGUGCUUCAUCGAAUAUGAAGCAAUUAUCCUGAUAUAAAUCCUUCAGUCAGGUAAUAAGUGAGGUGACGGCACUGCACUUGAUUUUUUGAUCCCGGCAAAGGUAUUUUCACCAAUGAGGAUAUUGAUGGGCGGUUUUCGUUGGGAUCCCGCAUCCUUUGGUAAAAAGAUCUAACAAAAAUAGCGAGAAUAAAUAAUGUUGAGGAGAAUAAUCAGCUUCGCAGUAGGCGCACCAAAUGAAAAGUUCGAUCCACUUCCAAAUACGGUUCUCUUGCUGGUGCAGGAAAUCGAAUUAAAAAUUGUCAGGCAAUACAUUACGUUCACGAACUGCAACACAAUCCAUAUAUGCAUGUCCUUUUGCAAAGAAAAUGUCAAUGUGCUUUUAUCUAAAUAAAAAAAUUGACUUAUGUUCUGUGUUUUUUUUGUUUACCACGCGAAAAUUCUUAACAUAAUAUUAUACGACUGCCUAGCAUUCAAUUCAACUACAAAACUAGUUUCCAUGGUAAAUUCAACUUUGUUUCAGUGCGAUGUUUUCUAGUAACUAUGACAUAAACACAGUGGAUUCUACUACAUCCCGAUUCUGCAAAUGACAUAGUAAAAUUGACUACUAUGGGAGUAGUUUGAAAAACAUUAUGCGUUCUGCCGAAAUCAAAUGGUACAAUGUUUUCAGCAUUACCUUCGAUAUAGUAAGCGUUACCAUGGCGCUUCUUUC